UAAAAUUUAUAAAAUUAGGUAGUAAAGAAAUUUCUGAAACCUAAAGAAUUUGGCGGUAUUUUAAAUAAUUGGAGGAACCUGUUAUUUAAUUGACAACCCACAACAUAUCUUUCCUAAGUUAAAUUUGUAUAUCGUCGUUUUGAUAAUAUUUAAAAAUUAUAAUCAAUCUUAAUAGAUUUUUAAAAAUCAGAUCAAGGUGCAGUAUACCUAGGUUAUAAUGGGUUACAAUAUAAAUAUAUAUGAUGGAUAUAAAAUUGAAAUUAUAUUGAAAGUGGAUUCAAAAGUAAUAUUAAAUUAAAAUGUUAAUUUGAUUAAUAAUUUAAAAUAUGC
rnacentral:rRNA from 1 species